CCUGCGGAAGGAUCAUUAACGAACUCUCGAAGGAUGCGGUUGCUGCUGGGCUUCUCAGAAGUCAACGUGCACACGCUCUUUCCUCUCGUUCGAGCAAUCUACCCCUAUCUGUGCACCCCUCGUAGGCUGAGAUCUCUUAGCCUAUGUUCUUUCCACAAAGCACCCUAAUAUAUCAGCGAAUGGCAGCCGUUCGAGCCUCGUCUCGACGUAGCAAUAUACACAACUUUCAACAACGGAUCUCUUGGCUCUCGCAUCGAUGAAGAACGCAGCGAAAUGCGAUAAGUAAUGUGAAUUGCAGAAUUCAGUGAAUCAUCGAAUCUUUGAACGCACCUUGCGCCCCUUGGUACUCCGAGAGGCAUGCCUGUUUGAGUGUCAUUGAACCAUCAACCCGAGUGGCUUUCGAGCUUUAUCGGAGUUUGGACCUUGCGGCGUGCGGGGAAGGCUCUCCGGGGCCUCUCCGCUCCUCGCGGAAUACAUCAGCAGAUGUCCACUUGCGGGGUCCAGCCUUGGCGUGAUAACUUGUCUACGUCCUGGCUUGGGUCGCGUUUACCCUGGCUCUGCCUCGAACAGUCGCCGUUCUGGCGACGGAGAUGGAUCGACAAAUUUGACCUCAAAUCAGGUAGGAU
rnacentral:rRNA from 1 species